rnacentral:rRNA from 1 species
GUGGGGUAAUGGCCUACCAAGGCGACGACGGGUAGCCGGCCUGAGAGGGUGACCGGCCACACUGGGACUGAGACACGGCCCAGACUCCUACGGGAGGCAGCAGUGGGGAAUAUUGCACAAUGGGCGGAAGCCUGAUGCAGCGACGCCGCGUGAGGGAUGACGGCCUUCGGGUUGUAAACCUCUUUCAGUAGGGAAGAAGCGUAAGUGACGGUACCUGCAGAAGAAGCGCCGGCUAACUACGUGCCAGCAGCCGCGGUAAUACGUAGGGCGCAAGCGUUAUCCGGAAUUAUUGGGCGUAAAGAGCUCGUAGGCGGUUUGUCGCGUCUGCCGUGAAAGUCCGGGGCUCAACUCCGGAUCUGCGGUGGGUACGGGCAGACUAGAGUGAUGUAGGGGAGACUGGAAUUCCUGGUGUAGCGGUGAAAUGCGCAGAUAUCAGGAGGAACACCGAUGGCGAAGGCAGGUCUCUGGGCAUUAACUGACGCUGAGGAGCGAAAGCAUGGGGAGCGAACAGGAUUAGAUACCCUGGUAGUCCAUGCCGUAAACGUUGGGCACUAGGUGUGGGGGAAUUCCACGUUUCCGCGCCGAGCUAAGCAUAAGUGCCCGCCUGGGAGACGGCGCAAGCUAAACUCAAGGAUUGACGGGGCCGCACAGCGGGGAGAUGCGGAUAAUUCGAUGAACGCAAGAACUUACAAGGUUGAAUGACCGGAACGCUGGAACAGUGCCCACUUGUGGCGG